rnacentral:rRNA from 1 species
UACGUAGGUGGCAAGCGUUGUCCGGAAUUAUUGGGCGUAAAGCGCGCGCAGGCGGUCUUUUAAGUCGGAUGUGAAAGCCCACGGCUCAACCGUGGAGGGUCAUUGGAAACUGGGGGACUUGAGUACAGAAGAGAAGAGUGGAAUUCCACGUGUAGCGGUGAAAUGCGUAGAGAUGUGGAGGAACACCAGUGGCGAAGGCGACUCUUUGGUCUGUAACUGACGCUGAGGCGCGAAAGCGUGGGGAGCAAACAGG